UGUGUACACUCAGCAGUCUGUCUGUGUGUGUGUAUUUAGCAGACUGUGUACUCAGCAGUCUGUGUGUAUUCAGCAGUCUGCUAAAUACACAUACAGACAGACUGCCGAGCAC
rnacentral:miRNA from 1 species